GUGGGGAAUAUUGCGCAAUGGGCGAAAGCCUGACGCAGCGACGCCGCGUGAGCGAAGAAGGCCUUCGGGUUGUAAAGCUCUGUCAGGGGGGACGAAGGGAGACUGACGGUACCCCCAGAGGAAGCCCCGGCCAACUACGUGCCAGCAGCCGCGGUAAUACGUAGGGGGCGAGCGUUGUCCGGAAUCAUUGGGCGUAAAGAGCACGUAGGCGGCCUGUCAGGUCGGAUGUGAAAACCCGCGGCUCAACUGCGGGAUUGCAUUCGAAACCGGCAGGCUAGAGUCCAGUAGAGGAAAGUGGAAUUCCCAGUGUAGCGGUGAAAUGCGCAGAUAUUGGGAAGAACACCGGCGGCGAAGGCGGCUUUCUGGGCUGUGACUGACGCUGAGGUGCGAAAGCUAGGGGAGCGAACAGGAUUAGAAACCCCAGUAGUCC
rnacentral:rRNA from 1 species